AGUGAACGCUGGCGGCAGGCCUAACACAUGCAAGUCGAACGGCAGCACAAGAGAGCUUGCUCUCUGGGUGGCGAGUGGCGGACGGGUGAGGAAUGCAUCGGAAUCUGCCCAUUUGUGGGGGAUAACCUCGGGAAACCGGGACUAAUACCGCAUACGACCUACGGGUGAAAGCAGGGGAUCUUCGGACCUUGCGCAGAUGGAUGAGCCGAUGCCGGAUUAGCUAGUUGGAGGGGUAAAGGCCCACCAAGGGGACGAUCCGUAGCUGGUCUGAGAGGAUGAUCACCCACAAUGGGACGAGAACGGGGCCCAAGCUCCGAAGGGGGGCAGGGGUGGGGAUUGUUGAAAGUUGGGAGAAGGCCUAUACCAGCCAAGCCGGGUAUGUGAAGAAGCCCUUGGGAUUAAAAAGGUCUUUUUUUGGGAAAGAAAAGCAGCGGGUUAAAACCCGGUUUUUAUGACGUUGCCAAAAAAGUGGACCCCGACGGACUGCGC
rnacentral:rRNA from 1 species